GAUGAACGCUGGCGGCGUGCCUAAUACAUGCAAGUCGAGCGAACGGACGAGAAGCUUGCUUCUCUGAUGUUAGCGGCGGACGGGUGAGUAACACGUGGAUAGCCUACCUAUAAGACUGGGAUAACUUCGGGAAACCGGAGCUAAUACCGGAUGAUAUUUUGAACCGCAUGGGUCAAAAGUGAAAGACGGUCUUGCUGUCACUUAUAGAUGGAUCCGCGCUGCAUUAGCUAGUUGGUAAGGUAACGGCUUACCAAGGCAACGAUGCAUAGCCGACCUGAGAGGGUGGUCGGCCACACUGGAACUGAGACACGGUCCAGACUCCUACGAGAGGCAGCAGUAGGGAAUCUUCCGCAAUGGGCGAAAGCCUGACGGAGCAACGCCGCGUGAGUGAUGAAGGUCUUCGGAUCGUAAAACUCUGUUAUUAGGGGAGAACAUAUGUGUAAGUAACUGUGCACAUCUUGACGGUACCUAGUCAGAAAGCCACGGCUAACUACGUG
rnacentral:rRNA from 1 species